rnacentral:sRNA from 21 species
GUCAGAAACUCCUCACACACAUUUUUCUGAUAAUGCGAAGUACUCAAGCGAUCGUUUGAGUACUUUUUAUUUAACCUUG